UAGGGAAUCUUCCGCAAUUGACGAAAGUCUGACGGAGCAACGCCGCGUGAGUGAAGAAGGAUUUCGGUUCGUAAAACUCUGUUGUUAGGGAAGAAAAAAUGUAUAGUAACUAUAUACAAAAGAGACGGUACCUAACCAGAAAGCCACGGCUAACUACGUGCCAGCAGCCGCGGUAAUACGUAGGUGGCAAGCGUUGUCCGGAAUUAUUGGGCGUAAAGCGCGCGCAGGUGGUUUAGAAAGUCUGAUGUGAAAGCCCACGGCUCAACCGUGGAGGGUCAUUGGAAACUAAUAAACUUGAGUGCAGGAGAGAAAAGUGGAAUUCCUAGUGUAGCGGUGAAAUGCGUAGAGAUUAGGAGGAACACCGGUGGCGAAAGCGGCUUUUUGGCCUGCAACUGACACUGAGGCGCGAAAGCGUGGGGAGCAAACAGG
rnacentral:rRNA from 1 species